rnacentral:rRNA from 1 species
ACGGAAGGCAGCAGUGGGGAAUCUUGCGCAAUGGGCGGAAGCCUGACGCAGCAACGCCGCGUGGGGGAUGACGGCCUUCGGGUUGUAAACCUCUUUCGGCAUCGACGAAGGCUCUCGUGUUCGGGAGUUGACGGUAGGUGCAGAAGAAGCACCGGCUAACUACGUGCCAGCAGCCGCGGUAAUACGUAGGGUGCGAGCGUUGUCCGGAUUUAUUGGGCGUAAAGAGCUCGUAGGCGGUUUGUCGCGUCGGCCGUGAAAACCUGCAGCUUAACUGUGGGCGUGCGGUCGAUACGGGCAGACUUGAGUUCGGUAGGGGAGACUGGAAUUCCUGGUGUAGCGGUGAAAUGCGCAGAUAUCAGGAGGAACACCGGUGGCGAAGGCGGGUCUCUGGGCCGAUACUGACGCUGAGGAGCGAAAGCGUGGGGAGCGAACAGGAUUAGAUACCCUGGUA